GACGAACGCUGGCGGCGUGCCUAAUACAUGCAAGUGGAGCGCUGAAGGUUGGUCCUUGUACCAACUGGAUGAGCAGCGAACGGGUGAGUAACGCGGGGGGAAUCUGCCUUUGGGCGGGGGACAACAUUUGGAAACGAAUGCUAAUACCGCAUAAAAACUUUAAACACAAGUUUUAAGUUUGAAAGAUGCAAUUGCAUCACUCAAAGAUGAUCCCGCGUUGUAUUAGCUAGUUGGUGAGGUAAAGGCUCACCAAGGCGAUGAUACAUAGCCGACCUGAGAGGGUGAUCGGCCACAUUGGGACUGAGACACGGCCCAAACUCCUACGGGAGGCAGCAGUAGGGAAUCUUCGGCAAUGGACGAAAGUCUGACCGAGCAACGCCGCGUGAGUGAAGAAGGUUUUCGGAUCGUAAAACUCUGUUGGUAGAGAAGAACGUUGGUGAGAGUGGAAAGCUCAUCAAGUGACGGUAACUACCCAGAAAGGGACGGCUAACUACGUG
rnacentral:rRNA from 1 species